UUUUAUAUUUCCUUAUUUGUAUGUCACUAUAAUUUGCAAUAGCUGUUAUAUCUUAGAAAUUUAUAUCGAGUGAAUGUUUAGAUAAUGCUAUUGAUCAAAGCGAACAAUUGAUAAUUUCAAUUUUUACUCGGUAUGAAUUGUGAUAUGAUUGCAUUUGUUUACAACAUUGUUAAAUUAUGUGAUUCUCUCAUACGCAGAAUUUAAAAUGAGACGAUGAUACCUUCAGUUCUUCGUUUUCUUGAUGCAAAUCUGUCGCUUCCUCGGAUACUAAACCGAUUCCAUUUAAAGAGAAACUCGCUGUGACACCUCGGGCUCUAGCACGACUAUCCCAUUGAUCUCCUUGACCACGUAAAACUCGAAUCACCUGAAAUAUAAUUAAUGAUCUUUUAAAAAGAAUCUAUUCUU